rnacentral:rRNA from 1 species
GACACGGCCCAGACUCCUACGGGAGGCAGCAGUGGGGAAUCUUAGACAAUGGGCGCAAGCCUGAUCUAGCCAUGCCGCGUGAGUGAUGAAGGCCCUAGGGUCGUAAAGCUCUUUCAACUGUGAAGAUAAUGACGGUAGCAGUAGAAGAAACCCCGGCUAA